rnacentral:rRNA from 1 species
GAUGAACGCUGGCGGCGUGCUUAACACAUGCAAGUCGAACGGGAAACCUUUUAUUGAAGCUUCGGCAGAUUUAGCUGGUUUCUAGUGGCGGACGGGUGAGUAACGCGUGGGUAACCUGCCUUAUACAGGGGGAUAACAACCAGAAAUGGUUGCUAAUACCGCAUAAGCGCACAGGACCGCAUGGUCCGGUGUGAAAAACUCCGGUGGUAUAAGAUGGACCCGCGUUGGAUUAGCUAGUUGGCAGGGUAACGGCCUACCAAGGCGACGAUCCAUAGCCGGCCUGAGAGGGUGAACGGCCACAUUGGGACUGAGACACGGCCCAGACUCCUACGGGAGGCAGCAGUGGGGAAUAUUGCACAAUGGGGGAAACCCUGAUGCAGCGACGCCGCGUGAAGGAAGAAGUAUCUCGGUAUGUAAACUUCUAUCAGCAGGGAAGAUAGUGACGGUACCUGACUAAGAAGACCCGGCUAACUACGUG